GAUGAACGCUAGCGGCAGGCUUAACACAUGCAAGUCGAGGGGUAUAGUAGCAAUACUAGAGACCGGCGCACGGGUGCGUAACGCGUAUGCAAUCUACCUUUCACAGAGGGAUAGCCCAGAGAAAUUUGGAUUAAUACCUCAUAGUAUAGUAUCUUGGCAUCAAGGAACUAUUAAAGUCACAACGGUGAAAGAUGAGCAUGCGUCCCAUUAGUUAGUUGGUAAGGUAACGGCUUACCAAGACUACGAUGGGUAGGGGUCCUGAGAGGGAGACCCCCACUCUGGUACUGAGACACGGACCAGACUCCUACGGGAGGCAGCAGUGAGGAAUAUUGGACAAUGGGCGCAAGCCUGAUCCAGCCAUGCCGCGUGCAGGAUGACGGUCCUAUGGAUUGUAAACUGCUUUUGUACAGGAAGAAACACCCCGACGUGUCGGGACUUGACGGUACUGUAAGAAUAAGGAUCGGCUAACUCCGUGCCAGCAGCCGCCGUAA
rnacentral:rRNA from 1 species